AGACCCGAAACCCGGUGAUCUAGCCAUGGGCAGGUUGAAGGUUGGGUAACACUAACUGGAGGACCGAACCGACUAAUGUUGAAAAAUUAGCGGAUGACCUGUGGCUGGGGGUGAAAGGCCAAUCAAACCGGGAGAUAGCUGGUUCUCCCCGAAAGCUAUUUAGGUAGCGCCUCGUGAAUUCAUCUCCGGGGGUAGAGCACUGUUUCGGCUAGGGGGCCAUCCCGGCUUACCAACCCGAUGCAAACUGCGAAUACCGGAGAAUGUUAUCACGGGAGACACACGGCGGGUGCUAACGUCCGUCGUGAAGAGGGAAACAACCCAGACCGCCAGCUAAGGUCCCAAAGUCAUGGUUAAGUGGGAAACGAUGUGGGAAGGCCCAGACAGCCAGGAUGUUGGCUUAGAAGCAGCCAUCAUUUAAAGAAAGCGUAAUAGCUCACUGGUCGAGUCGGCCUGCGCGGAAGAUGUAACGGGGCUAAACCAUGCACCGAAGCUGCGGCAGCGACGCUGAUGCGUUGUUGGGUAGGGGAGCGUUCUGUAAGCCUGCGAAGGUGGCCUGUGAGGGUUGCUGGAGGUAUCAGAAGUGCGAAUGCUGACAUAAGUAACGAUAAAGCGGGUGAAAAGCCCGCUCGCCGGAAGACCAAGGGUUCCUGUCCAACGUUAAUCGGGGCAGGGUGAGUCGACCCCUAAGGCGAGGCCGAAAGGCGUAGUCGAUGGGAAACGGGUUAAUAUUCCCGUACUUGGUGUUACUGCGAAGGGGGGACGGAGAAGGCUAUGUUGGCCGGGCGACGGUUGUCCC
rnacentral:rRNA from 1 species